UUCAGUUUCCACUUGCUUCGU
rnacentral:piRNA from 1 species